GGUAAAUGUAGCUAAUUCUAAGAAAUGUUAUGCAAAUGAAAGUGACAUGUUCUAUAAAAAAGAAACUUUCCUAUCACACCCAUGUAAAUCUCUUAACGUUUUCUCUGUUUAUGUGCAGACAUGUGCUUAAAUUAUAUAAGCUUUGUAGUUCUGUACUUGGUUCAAGUUACUAGAUAAUUUGUUAUAUUCUCCAAAGGAUUCAUGGAGCUGUUAUCUAAUUUAUAACAGGGAGAACCUUUGUGCAUUUUCUA
rnacentral:misc_RNA from 1 species